UCAGGGAGGCGGCGGAACAGGGUACCUCCAGCUCCCGGCGUGGCAGCUGUUCCUAUGGUUACGAACGGGGGCGGGGUUUCUAGUAGCGUGAAGACUGUUUGCAGGAGUCACAGGGUUCGCGCUAGAACAAGACGUUGUGGCUGCAGCUAGCUUGUGUUUAUGAUUACGUCUGCAAUACUCGAGAGGAAAUUGAUGCCCUGGAAAAUGGAACUCGGCAGUGUUUCCCUGUGAGACCUUCGGGGCGGCCACGUUGUGACUUUUCUGAACAACUUGGAUUCUACUAACCUCCAGGUUCCCGAACCCCGCCUCUCCUGAGUUUCAGAACUCCCAGCCUAGGUAAGAGCCACAGACAAGAAAAAUGAAGGCUGUGGUUCUAAACCUGGUACAACUCCUAAGGCGUUCUGCUCACAGGCUCCGCAGUCUCGCUGAGCUGGGAAUGGCGGGAACUCUUAAUUCUUCCUGUUCUAAAUAAGGUCAUGAAUCAGGUUAUUUCUGCCCCACCCUAAAGAAUUUCCUGACCUCAGUAUCAUAUCCACAAACAUUUCCAGUUGCCUUAAUAACUUUGUUUCCCCACGCCCAUCGCUCCUCUUGCUUGUCCUGUUUCAUUUUCUUUAAUUCACCAUUCCUUCUCUGUUCUAAUUCUUUUUCACCAUCUAUUAUAUCAUAGCUGUCACUAUCUGGCCAUCAUUGUAUAACCUUUCAAAGUCCCCCCCCCCCUUUAGCAAAGUUCCACAGUUCUUGUUAUCAUGGAUUUAUUAAUCUCAUAAUAAGAUUAAAAAUUUUUCUUGAUGUAGCUUGGAAGUAAGAGAGGGAGGGAGGGAGGAAUGACGGAAGGAAAGGAAAGAAGAAAGGAAAGGGAAGAAAAGGAGAGUACCCCAAAGUAAAGGUGGUUGUACUGCCCCCUUUGAAUUUAGAUUAUUAAUGUGCAACUCAAUAAGGCUUUACACGUCCUAAAUUUCCUAAUUACCUCUCAAAGUGGGAAAGGCCACAAAUUCAACUCUGCGUGGAGUUCUGAAAUCGCUGUUAUACUCUGAUCAUUUUGUCUAGAGUAGCCCCCAACAUGCUCCUACUCUGUCUGCUUUCCUUCCUAAUACAAUCUGACCUCCUAUUUUAUUUGCAUAUUGUCCAUCAUCCCCACUAGAAACACCAAACUCAUUCUCAUUUAUUUAUUUAUUUUUUUACCCCUGGUACCUAACACAAAGCUUAGCAUAAAGCAGGUGCUCAAUAAAAUGUUUGUUGAUUAAUUGAAUCAUGAAUCCCAACCCAUAUAGUAUUAUUGGUUCUGCAAUAAAUGAGUGUAGUCUGCCACUUGCUCUACACUUUUAUUGUCUCCAGGAAGACAAUAUUCUCCAACCCUCUGCCCUCCAAAUUAAGUGGCUGGGAGGUGGAUAAAAGGACAGUGGCUCUAACCGAAUGAUGAAUGGACAGAAGUACAGACAUGACAUUCUGUGCUUGGAAAGAGAAGACUGCUCACUUGUCAGUUUUAACUAUAGGUAACAGAACAUGUGACCAACAGUGGCUUACCCAAAAUGCACCCUCCGAGGGCUUUGCUGCGCAAUGAAGCAUCGUCCCCUGGCAGUAUCCUGUCUGCAAAGCAAGUGGAGCUUAAGCCUUUUGCUGGGGGGGCCCUUACAUGGCCCUGGGAGGGGCUG